rnacentral:rRNA from 1 species
GCAAGUCGAGCGGUAGCACAGAGAGCUUGCUCUCGGGUGACGAGCGGCGGACGGGUGAGUAAUGUCUGGGAAACUGCCUGAUGGAGGGGGAUAACUACUGGAAACGGUAGCUAAUACCGCAUAACGUCGCAAGACCAAAGUGGGGGACCUUCGGGCCUCAUGCCAUCAGAUGUGCCCAGAUGGGAUUAGCUAGUAGGUGGGGUAACGGCUCACCUAGGCGACGAUCCCUAGCUGGUCUGAGAGGAUGACCAGCCACACUGGAACUGAGACACGGUCCAGACUCCUACGGGAGGCAGCAGUGGGGAAUAUUGCACAAUGGGCGCAAGCCUGAUGCAGCCAUGCCGCGUGUGUGAAGAAGGCCUUCGGGUUGUAAAGCACUUUCAGCGGGGAGGAAGGCGGUGAGGUUAAUAACCUUGUCGAUUGACGUUACCCGCAGAAGAAGCACCGGCUAACUCCGUGCCAGCAGCCGCGGUAAUACGGAGGGUGCAAGCGUUAAUCGGAAUUACUGGGCGUAAAGCGCACGCAGGCGGUCUGUCAAGUCGGAUGUGAAAUCCCCGGGCUCAACCUGGGAACUGCAUUCGAAACUGGCAGGCUAGAGUCUUGUAGAGGGGGGUAGAAUUCCAGGUGUAGCGGUGAAAUGCGUAGAGAUCUGGAGGAAUACCGGUGGCGAAGGCGGCCCCCUGGACAAAGACUGACGCUCAGGUGCGAAAGCGUGGGGAGCAAACAGGAUUAGAUACCCUGGUAGUCCACGCCGUAAACGAUGUCGAUUUGGAGGUUGUGCCCUUGAGGCGUGGCUUCCGGAGCUAACGCGUUAAAUCGACCGCCUGGGGAGUACGGCCGCAAGGUUAAAACUCAAAUGAAUUGACGGGGGCCCGCACAAGCGGUGGAGCAUGUGGUUUAAUUCGAUGCAACGCGAAGAACCUUACCUGGUCUUGACAUCCACAGAACUUAGCAGAGAUGCUUUGGUGCCUUCGGGAACUGUGAGACAGGUGCUGCAUGGCUGUCGUCAGCUCGUGUUGUGAAAUGUUGGGUUAAGUCCCGCAACGAGCGCAACCCUUAUCCUUUGUUGCCAGCGGUUCGGCCGGGAACUCAAAGGAGACUGCCAGUGAUAAACUGGAGGAAGGUGGGGAUGACGUCAAGUCAUCAUGGCCCUUACGACCAGGGCUACACACGUGCUACAAUGGCAUAUACAAAGAGAAGCGACCUCGCGAGAGCAAGCGGACCUCAUAAAGUAUGUCGUAGUCCGGAUUGGAGUCUGCAACUCGACUCCAUGAAGUCGGAAUCGCUAGUAAUCGUAGAUCAGAAUGCUACGGUGAAUACGUUCCCGGGCCUUGUACACACCGCCCGUCACACCAUGGGAGUGGGUUGCAAAAGAAGUAGGUAGCUUAACCUUCGGGAGGGCGCUU